rnacentral:lncRNA from 1 species
CUGAAGUCGGGGUCCGACCUUCUCUCCCUGCAGGCGUUCGGGGGAAGCUGCCAGAAACACCCGAACCGGCCGGUGCAGCUCUACUGCCGUAUGUGUCGGCAGGCGGGGUGCGGGCAGUGUGUCUCCGAGGAGCAUCAGGGCAUCUUCCACUCUGUCAACCUCAUAGACACGGUGUACCAGGAAGAAAAAUUAACCUUCUUUAGCACUCUGAAACAAAUGAGGAUAAUAAAUGAGAAGCUGGUGAAUGAAAUCUCAAAACGGCCGAAUGAUGCGGACAUGAUGCUGAAAAAUGAUGUGGAGAUAAUUGAGCUGAAAUUUGGAGAAAUUUUCAAAACUCUAGAAAUGAAAAAACAGCAAUUACUAGAAGAUGUUGAAAAUCAAAGAGGUAAAAAAGAGAAAGAAUUUCAGAUUUGGAAGAAAAUGAAAGAAACUCACAAGAAGACAAUUGAGAAUUUUUUGAAGGAUUGUGAAAAGCUUGUCCAUGAGUGUGAUCCUCAGUGUUUCCUGGAGGUUGCCUGUGGCUUGAAUACAAGAAUGAAAACUCAGCUUGACGUGAUGAAUAUAGCAUCCAAUUGGGAAAAACCACCAGUAUAUAUACCAAAGAAAAUAGACAUCAAGUCUGUUGUUAAUGAAAUCUUAGCAUUGGAGUUAACUCCUGUUGAUGCAGAGCUACCUUAUGACGGAAAUGAGAGCUCAACUCUAUUUAAAGAUACCUUAAAGCAGUGGCAGGACCGGAAGAAUACACCCAACACGUUUCUUCCUGUAGCAGGACAGGAUGAAGCAGAUGGUAGCAGGAUCCCUACUCGCUUUAUGUCAAUAUCAGAAAUGUCAGAAUUUCAAAAUAUGAGCCAUGAGGAGUUACGUUACAAAUACUAUAUGGAACUUCAGAAGCUCACCAAUGUGUUUAAGACUCAAAAUUUCCCUGCAAAUAAAAAGUAUAAAUUUGUAGCUGCUGAGGCCUCCAAGAGUAAGUCCUCAGGAACUUCUUUUAUAUCUGUACCUACCAAAACAAAUAAUACAGAUAAAAUAAAAAUGGGAACCCUGCAAAGAGGAGGUGGCUUUGACAGAAGAGACUUUUCUGGAAGCAGUGCUCAUAGCAUCCCAUCCACAAAUACCAUAUUUUCUGAAACAAAUGGUGACUUAAAUUUAUUUCAUGAGGGAAGUGGCCAGGAAGUAUCCACUCCAGCCCUGUCAGAAACCUCUCCAGACUUGUUAAUUAAAGAAAAAUGUCCAAGACAGGCAUCAGUAGGUACUGUUUCCAAUGAAACAAAUUCUAGCACUUCAUCAGACUUAAAGCCAGCAGCAACAGUGGCUGUUACUGUUUCAAAUUCUGAAUCUGUAGAUGUUUCAGCAGAGAGACCUUCAGGUGUGCCUUUUACUUUCAGUGCAUCUAACAACUCACUACCAAGAUUUAGUAAAGAUAGAGGUACAUUUUCCUUUAAAAAGCAAGACAAGAGAUGUGCUUUCCCUCAGUUUUAUUUAGGGAGAUGUGAUAAGGUGGAUAAAACCAAUAACCAGGAUAAACAUGGUCAUGAAACCAAGAACACAGUUUGUGAUGCUUCAACAAGUCCUAAUUUAGACUCAGCAGAAAGUGAGAAACCACACAUUUUGUUUCCCUUUGGCAAUUCAGAAGGAGAUUGGUUUGCAGGAUCAGAAGUUAGCAAUUCAUGUAAGGUGUUACCAUCAUCAAUUUUAAGCCAAUCUGAGAAGCCAUCUGACAAAAAAACAUUAUCUCACAUGAGGGAAAAAACAAAGGAACCUGCUGGAUGUGGUACACAGAAACCUGUCUUAGGGGAACAAAAACCUCACGCCUCCGAAUUCACCACAACUGUAGCUUGCAGUACUUCAGAAACCAACACUGGAACUGGGCUGAAUGAUGUCUCCAAGACCCCACUUCUCACCACUAAUGGUGCAUUUUCCUUCAGAAGUAACUUUCCAUUGCCUUCACCAGUAUUUUCAUUUGGAGGCACUGGCAGAAAUACCUCUGAUUCGCUGACUUCUUCCAUGUUUUUUUCUGGACACAGAACAGAAAAAAUGGAUAAGGAGAAGAUGAACUCUCCUGAAAAAACGCUUCUAAAUCUAGGGAAACCUGUAUCUUCAGAGUGUGCAGAGCCUGCUUCUCUUCAUCCAAAAUGCGAUGGUUCAUGUUUGCCUAUGAACUCAGCUAAAGAUACUGAAAGUGCAGAAAGACUUGGUAAUGGUAAUGCUCCUUAUCAGCCUUUAUGUCCAGGAGUUCUUCCUGUUGAAUGUGAGAAUGAAUCUUCCACUCAACUCACUACAACAACACAACAACAAAGAAGGGUAAAAGAUGAAGAAACUGUUGCUGAAAACAACUGUGUGUGUCAUAUAAGGGAGGAUAAACCUAAGCCUGUACAGUUCCAGAGCACAGCUUGUUCUGUUCCUGGCAUGUGCAGUGAUCCAUCUUUAGGAGGUUCUGUGCUUGCAGUAAGUGAGACAGGAGGAAUGCUAAGAGACAGCACUUCUGACACUUAAGAGUUA